CUUCACCGACCCCAGCCACAACGGCCGGUCCGCUGCACGGUCCUGGCCGUAGGUGGCGAUCAGCGCCUGUGCCUC
rnacentral:antisense_RNA from 2 species